rnacentral:rRNA from 1 species
CGACCGCGGCUUCGGCCGCGGGAAGGGCGCACUUAUUAGGCGAAAACCAAUCGGCUUCGGCCGUUGGUGGACGACACCCGAGUAAUUGCCGCCGAUCGCACGGCCUCGAGCCGGCGACGCCUCCACUGAGUUUCUGAUCUAUCAUGCUGUCGACGGUUGGUGCUAUGCCAACCGUGGCGUUAACGGAUAACAGAGAAUCUGGGUUCGAUUCUGGAGAGGCCGCAUGAGAAACGGCGACCACUUCCAAGAAGGCAGCAGGCACGCAAAUUACCCACUUCGGACACCGAGAGGUAGUGACGAACAAUACCGAUGCGGUGCACUUACGUGUCGCCGUAAUCGGAAUGAGUACACUUCAAAUCCUUUAACGAGGAUCCACUGGAGGGCAAGCCUGGUGCCAGCAGCCGCGGUAAUUCCAGCUCCAGCAGCGUAUAUUUAUAUUGCUGCGUUUAAAAAGCUCGUAGUUGAAGCGUCAGACGCGGGAGGACGGACGGCCGCACUGGUCGCUUCUCGUCCGACCGAGCCAGGCGCAGAGGGCGUCCGUCGGUUGCACUUCACCGUGUGAUCGCGGCGUCGCUGCACGUUCACCUUUGAAGAAAAU